rnacentral:rRNA from 1 species
AACGAACGCUGGCGGCAGGCCUAACACAUGCAAGUCGAGCGAGGACUUCGGUCCUAGCGGCGGACGGGUGAGUAACGCGUGGGAACGUGCCCUUUGCUUCGGAAUAGCCCUGGGAAACUGGGAGUAAUACCGGAUGAGCCCUUUGGGGGAAAGAUUUAUCGGCGAAGGAUCGGCCCGCGUUGGAUUAGGUAGUUGGUGGGGUAAUGGCCUACCAAGCCGACGAUCCAUAGCUGGUUUGAGAGGAUGAUCAGCCACACUGGGACUGAGACACGGCCCAGACUCCUACGGGAGGCAGCAGUGGGGAAUCUUAGACAAUGGGGGAAACCCUGAUCUAGCCAUGCCGCGCGAGCGAUGAAGGCCUUAGGGUUGUAAAGCUCUUUCAGCUGGGAAGAUAAUGACGGUACCAGCAGAAGAAGCCCCGGCUAACUCCGUG